rnacentral:rRNA from 1 species
UACGGAGGGGGCAAGCGUUGUGCGGAUUUAUUGGGCGUAAAGAGCGUGUAGGCGGCCAGGUAGGUCUGCUGUGAAAACUCGAGGCUUAACCUCGAGCUGGCGGCGGAAACCAUCUGGCUAGAGUCCGGAAGAGGAGAAUGGAAUUCCCGGUGUAGCGGUGAAAUGCGCAGAUAUCGGGAAGAACACCCGUGGCGAAGGCGGUUCUCUGGGACGGUACUGACGCUGAGACGCGAAAGCGUGGGGAGCGAACAGG